CGAAAGCCUGACGGAGCAACGCCGCGUGUGGGAAGAAGGCUCUUGGGCUGUCAACCACUUUUCUCAGGGAAGAAGUCCUGACGGUACCUGAGGAAUCAGCCUCGGCUAACUCCGUGCCAGCAGCCGCGGUAAUACGGAGGAGGCAAGCGUUAUUCGGAAUUAUUGGGCGUAAAGCGUCCGCAGGCGGCUAAUUAAGUCUGCUGUCAAAGCCCACAGCUCAACUGUGGAUCGGCGGUGGAAACUGGUUAGCUUGAGUGCGGUAGGGGUAGAGGGAAUUCCCGGUGUAGCGGUGAAAUGCGUAGAGAUCGGGAAGAACAUCGGUGGCGAAAGCGCUCUACUGGACGGCAACUGACACUCAGGGACGAAAGCUAGGGGAGCG
rnacentral:rRNA from 1 species